CCCCAGAGACCUCGCCGCCGGCCACUGAUUUGGAGCGGAAUGGAUUCAACUGGAGAUGAUCUACCUCCCCAUCUAGGGGGCCAGACUCCUUUCAUCCCACUGGCCAGGUCAGACCCUAGCGCCCCCACGGCCAGCGAGGUUACCGGCGGCGCCAAUGGCCAGGCAGUAGGGCUCGGCCGUGGAACAGGACGGGGCCGUGUCCCUGGCGCUGGCCAUGGCCCUGGCGCGGCCAGCCUAGGCGCUGGCGCAGCCGGCAGGUCCCUGGCGUGGCCGGCAAGGGUGCUGGCUCUGCCGUCAGGGGCCGUGGCGCGGCCGCCAGAGACACAGGUGCUGCGACGGCUGCUACUGCGAAGAGGAAAUCAAGAGACGUGGUAUGCAAAAUUUUGGUUUUAGCUUUUCUUGAUGUCUUACAAAUUGAGAAUGCUUGCAAUUUCAUUACCAUGUUCAAUGAUACAAAAUUGAAAACUAGUAUUGCGAGAGCUUGAACUGUUAUUGUAAUAGCAUGGUCAGGGUGAUGCUAUAGACUGGAAUGACACAAAUACUUUAAUCAUAUGUUCAUUAUUUGCCAAA